AUACUUACCUAGAAGGAGAGAUACAUGAUCUAGAAGGUGGUUUUCCCAGGGCGAGGCUCACCCAUUGCACUCCGGAUGUGCUGACCCCUGAGAUUUCCCCAAAUGUGGGAAACUCCACUGCAUAAUUUGUGCUAGUGGGGGGUUGCAUUCAUGCUCUCCCCCU